GACGAAGGGGGCUAGCGUUGUUCGGAAUUACUGGGCGUAAAGCGCGUGUAGGCGGUUGUUCAAGUCAGGUGUGAAAGCCUUGAGCUCAACUCAAGAAAUGCACUUGAUACUGGAUGACUAGAGGACCGGAGAGGAUAGUGGAAUUCCCAGUGUAGUGGUGAAAUACGUAGAGAUUGGGAAGAACACCAGUGGCGAAGGCGGCUAUCUGGACGAUAACUGACGCUGAGACGCGAAAGCGUGGGUAGCAAACAGG
rnacentral:rRNA from 1 species